GAUGAACGCUGGCGGCGUGCCUAAUACAUGCAAGUCGAGCGAACAGACGAGGAGCUUGCUCCUCUCACGUUAGCGGAGGACGGGUGAGUAACAUGUGGAUAACCUCCCUAUAUGACUGGGAUAACUUCGGGAAACCGGAGCUAAUACCGGAUAAUAUAUUGAACCGCAUGGUUCAAUAGUGAAAGACGGUUUUGCUGUCACGUAUAGAUGGAUCUGGGCCGCAUUAGCUAGUUGGUAAGGUAACGGCUUACGAAGGCAACGAUGCGUAGACGACCUGAGAGAGUGAUCGGCCACACUAGAACGGAAACACGGUCCAGACUCCUACGGGAGGCAGCAGUAGGGAAUCUUCCGCAAUGGGCGAAAACCUGACGGAGCAGCGCCGCGUGAGUGAUGAAGGUCUUCGGAUCGUAAAACUCUGUUAUUAGGGAAGAACAAAUGUGUAAGUAACUAUACACGUCUUGACGGUACCUAAUCAGAAAGCCACGGCUAACUACGUG
rnacentral:rRNA from 1 species